rnacentral:rRNA from 1 species
UACGGAGGGUGCAAGCGUUGCUCGGAAUUAUUGGGCGUAAAGGGUAGGUAGGUGGUCUCAUUUGUCUGGGGUGAAAGCCUUGAGCUUAACUCGAGAAGUGCCCCAGAAACGGUGAGACUGGAGUCCUGGAGAGGGUCGUGGAAUUCCCGGUGUAGCGGUGAAAUGCGUAGAGAUCGGGAGGAACACCAGAGGCGAAGGCGGCGACCUGGACCAACACUGACACUGAAAAGCGAAAGCCAGGGGAGCAAACGGG